AGAGUUUGAUCCUGGCUCAGGAUGAACGCUGGCGGCGUGCUUAACACAUGCAAGUCGAACGAAGCACUUUAUUUGAUUUCCUUCGGGACUGAUUAUUUUGUGACUGAGUGGCGGACGGGUGAGUAACGCGUGGGUAACCUGCCUUGUACAGGGGGAUAACAGUUGGAAACGGCUGCUAAUACCGCAUAAGCGCACAGCAUCGCAUGAUGCAGUGUGAAAAACUCCGGUGGUAUAAGAUGGACCCGCGUUGGAUUAGCUAGUUGGUGAGGUAACGGCCCACCAAGGCGACGAUCCAUAGCCGACCUGAGAGGGUGACCGGCCACAUUGGGACUGAGACACGGCCCAAACUCCUACGGGAGGCAGCAGUGGGGAAUAUUGCACAAUGGGCGAAAGCCUGAUGCAGCGACGCCGCGUGAGCGAAGAAGUAUUUCGGUAUGUAAAGCUCUAUCAGCAGGGAAGAUAAUGACGGUACCUGACUAAGAAGCACCGGCUAAAUACGUGCCAGCAGCCGCGGUAAUACGUAUGGUGCAAGCGUUAUCCGGAUUUACUGGGUGUAAAGGGAGCGCAGGCGGUGCGGCAAGUCUGAUGUGAAAGCCCGGGGCUCAACCCCGGUACUGCAUUGGAAACUGUCGUACUAGAGUGUCGGAGGGGUAAGCGGAAUUCCUAGUGUAGCGGUGAAAUGCGUAGAUAUUAGGAGGAACACCAGUGGCGAAGGCGGCUUACUGGACGAUAACUGACGCUGAGGCUCGAAAGCGUGGGGAGCAAACAGGAUUAGAUACCCUGGUAGUCCACGCCGUAAACGAU
rnacentral:rRNA from 1 species